UACGUAGGGCGCAAGCGUUAUCCGGAAUUAUUGGGCGUAAAGAGCUCGUAGGCGGUUUGUUGCGUCGGCUGUGAAAUCCCGAGGCUCAACCUCGGGUCUGCAGUCGAUACGAGCAAACUAGAGUGUUGCAGGGGAGACUGGAAUUCCUGGUGUAGCGGUGAAAUGCGCAGAUAUCAGGAGGAACACCGGUGGCGAAGGCGGGUCUCUGGGCAACUACUGACGCUGAGGAGAGAAAGCGUGGGGAGCGAACAGG
rnacentral:rRNA from 1 species